rnacentral:rRNA from 1 species
CCCGCUGAACUUAAGCAUAUCAAUAAGCGGAGGAAAAGAAACUAACAAGGAUUCCCCUAGUAACGGCGAGUGAAGCGGGAAUAGCUCAAAUUUGAAAUCUCAUGGGUUCCACCUAUGCGAAUUGUAGUUUAGAGAAGUGUUUUCGGGGACGGCUUGGGUAUAAGUCCUUUGGAAAAAGGCAUCGUAGAGGGUGAGAAUCCCGUUAACGACCCAACGUUCGUUCCUAUGUGAUACACUUUCAAAGAGUCAGGUAGUUUGGGAAUGCUGCCUAAAAUGGGUGGUAAAUACCAUCUAAAGCUAAAUAUUGGCGAGAGACCGAUAGCGAACAAGUACCGUGAGGGAAAGAUGAAAAGAACUUUGAAAAGAGAGUUAAACAGUACGUGAAAUUGCCAAAAGGGAAACGCUUGAAACCAGUAUUGCUGGUAGGAAAUCAGCCUCGCCGCCUCGAAAGAGUGAAGCGGGGUGCACUUUUCUGCACGCAAGUCAACAUCAGUUUGAAUUGAAGUAAAAAGCCUUGGGAAGGUAGCUUGGACUCGUCUGAGUGUUAUAGCCCAAGGUCAUGCUUUGAUUUGGACUGAGGUCUGCAGCGUAAUUUGGGCACCUAGUCGCCUCUUAAGGCUUCUCAGUAGACAGCAUGCUGACUAUUGGGUUUGUUGAGAGAGCCCGGUUAGUUCGCUACACCAACGCUUAGGAUGUUGACGAAAUGGUUUUAAACGACCCGUCUUGAAACACGG